UGCAAUCUCUUGGAAGGAAAUGGCAAGGAUGGAAAUGUGAAGCAAAAAAACAAGGAUACAUGCCAUAUAAUAAUUAUGCAGACAUAAUAGCUCAUAGGCCUAGUAGAGUUACGGAGGAGCAGUGGCGGUGUCUGGUCUAUUAUUGGAAUGAUAGAAAUGUACAGGAGAAGAGUACAAACAACAAGGAUUACAGGUCCC